rnacentral:tRNA from 1 species
GCAGUGGCGGUUCAAUGGUAGAGUUUUCAUUUUCCAUGUGGGAGACCUGGGUUUGAGCCCAGCCAAUGCA